AUACGUAGGUGGCAAGCGUUGUCCGGAAUUACUGGGUGUAAAGGGCGUGUAGGCGGGAGAGCAAGUCAGAUGUGAAAGCCCAUGGCUUAACUGUGGAAUUGCAUCUGAAACUGUUUUUCUUGAGUACUGGAGAGGAAAGUGGAAUUCCUAGUGUAGCGGUGAAAUGCGUAGAGAUUAGGAGGAACACCAGUGGCGAAGGCGGCUUUCUGGACAGUAACUGACGCUGAGGCGCGAAAGCGUGGGGAGCAAACAGGAUUAGAUACCCUGGUAGUCCACGCUGUAAACGAUGGAUACUAGGUGUGGGAGGUAUCGACCCCUUCCGUGCCGGAGUUAACACAAUAAGUAUCCCACCUGGGGAGUACGGCCGCAAGGCUGAA
rnacentral:rRNA from 1 species